rnacentral:rRNA from 1 species
UACGAAGGGGGCUAGCGUUGUUCGGAAUUACUGGGCGUAAAGGGCGCGUAGGCGGUGCCUCAAGUCAGGCGUGAAAGCCCCGGGCUCAACCUGGGAACCGCGCUUGAGACUGGAGUACUAGAGUUCGGGAGAGGAUGGUGGAAUUCCCAGUGUAGCAGUGAAAUGCGUAGAGAUCGGGAGGAACACCAGUGGCGAAGGCGGCUACCUGGACCAGCACUGACACUGAGGCACGAAAGCGUGGGGAGCAAACAGG